GGCUAAGCCCGUGUGGAAGGUGUGGUUUGAAGAGAAAUGCAGAGCCUGUGAAAGCCUUUGAUCACCUGUGAAUGAUGAAGCUCUGGCCUCAGGGAGACGUUUCCUAUCUGGCUGAACAUGAUGCUUCUGCUACUGGAAAGACUGCAUGGACCCAGAAAGAAUGUGUGGAUUUCUCUUCUUCAUACUGGAUGGACUGGAUUUGAGGCAGAAAUAUACGCUGCUCCUGACUCACCCAGGGCAGCUCCACAUUUCCCAACCCCAUUUAAAUGAGCGAGAGAAAUAUCACCAGUUUUGCUAGUGGGAUAAAAUUGGAAACAGAAGGAGGUCACUGUCAUGUGCAUUUCAACUGUCUUAGGGGGUUUUCUUUUUCUUUGCAUUUAGCUCCUGGGAUAUUUGGGUUGUUUAUGCCCCCAGGGCAUGACUCCCCCAUUCUGUCUAAACAGCUUUACCCAAAUUUCUUCAUCUCCCACAGCUAGUUGAGCAUGAGUAUUUUUAAAACUAUGUUCUCAAGUGGCCUUAUCAAACAUUUUCUCCAUCCUCAGUGUCACUGCUCUAGGUUCCAGAAAGUACAAGAAUCUCUGUGUCCCCAAAGCAUCUGGUCCUCAAUGCUACUGAAAAAUGCCCACAUAUCACAGGGUAGGGAUUCCGCUGCCAUGAUCCUCAGAAAUGUACUCAUAUGACCCAAGCCGCCAUUUCAUGCUUAUCCCUCUUUGCUUAUCAGACGACAGCAAUCGAAGUUACUCUGACAGUAGGGGAAGAUAAGGGAAUAUAUAUUUGUGUUUGUGUGUGUGUGUGUAGAGGUAGUAGUUGCAGGGGAUUUUGAACAUAUGGCUCUAAUCUCUGACUGGAAAGUUGGGAGGGUUUGUGUAGUGUAGGAAAGGAAAAGCAACUGUUUGGUAAGUAGAACUUUGACAAGAGUGGGAUUAGCAAGGAUCCCCCCAGUCUACCAGAACCCAAAGUUAUCUAUGGUGAUGACCUGUCCUGAUGACAGGCCUUUAUUUUAAAUUUCUUCUAGGCAGUUAGGGGGGAAAGGUCAAACUUCUUGCUGAGUCUGAGCCUUUAUUGUCUUCAGCUCAAAAUAAUCCGUGCGCCGAGGUGGCGCAUGUUGGGGUGGCCUGCCCUGAAUCCCAUCAAUGGGAAUCCCAGAUGAAGUACAGAUUUGUAUUUUUAAAAAAGGAUUAAUUGUAACUCAUAUUUUAUAUGACUUCUUUAUUUACAAAAGGAAUAAAUUUUGUGGAAAUUUCAGCAAAAAUGAAGUGUAAAGGCUGGUGGUAACCAUUUAAUGCCCUGGGGUUGAGAAAGUAGCAUUGACUUAUGUGAAAGUUAUAUGAACUGUAGAAUCUGUUAAACCUUCCGAUCCUUUCCUUUGGGAUACACACAUAAAUUUCUAUGGAUAUUGUUGAACUUAGACUUUCUAUAACCACUGGGCAGAGGGUCAAUAUUAACUUAUUUUACUAAAAAGUUGAUCACUCAGACUUCCACAUUAAUUGGCAUUGAGUUGUGCAAAUAAAUCCAGUAAGUUUUCCAUCAUGUUCUUCCUUUGACUCGUAGGGCUUUGAAAAUCCUUCUAAGGUGCUUUGGUUCUACUUGCCUGCUCAGAAUUUAAACGAUGCUGACAAUAAGUAGUCUGAAGUUUAGGAAAGAAC
ensembl:lncRNA